rnacentral:rRNA from 1 species
AGCGAACGCUGGCGGCAGGCUUAACACAUGCAAGUCGAGCGGGCACUUUCGGGUGUCAGCGGCGGACGGGUGAGUAACGCGUGGGAACGUGCCCUCUGGUUCGGAAUAACUCAGGGAAACUUGAGCUAAUACCGGAUACGCCCUUUUGGGGAAAGGCUUGCUGCCGGAGGAUCGGCCCGCGUCUGAUUAGCUAGUUGGUGAGGUAACGGCUCACCAAGGCGACGAUCAGUAGCUGGUCUGAGAGAAUGAUCAGCCACACUGGGACUGAGACACGGCCCAGAAUCCUACGGGAGGCAGCAGUGGGUAAUAUUGGACAAUGGGCGCAAGCCUGAUCCAGCCAUGCCGCGUGAGUGAUGAAGGUCUUAGGGUUGUAAAGCUCUUUUAUCCGGGACGAUAAUGACGGUACCUGAGGAAUAAGCCCCGGCUAACUUCGUG